AGUGAACGCUGGCGGUAGGCCUAACACAUGCAAGUCGAACGGCAGCACAGUAAGAGCUUGCUCUUACGGGUGGCGAGUGGCGGACGGGUGAGGAAUACAUCGGAAUCUACUUUUUCGUGGGGGAUAACGUAGGGAAACUUACGCUAAUACCGCAUACGACCUACGGGUGAAAGCAGGGGAUCUUCGGACCUUGCGCGAUUGAAUGAGCCGAUGUCGGAUUAGCUAGUUGGCGGGGUAAAGGCCCACCAAGGCGACGAUCCGUAGCUGGUCUGAGAGGAUGAUCAGCCACACUGGAACUGAGACACGGUCCAGACUCCUACGGGGGGCAGCAGUGGGGAAUAUUGGACAAUGGGCGCAAGCCUGAUCCAGCCAUACCGCGUGGGUGAAGAAGGCCUUCGGGUUGUAAAGCCCUUUUGUUGGGAAAGAAAAGCAGCAGGUUAAUACCCCGCUGUUCUGACGGUACCCAAAGAAUAAGCACCGGCUAACUCCGUG
rnacentral:rRNA from 1 species